AUUGAACGCUGGCGGCAUGCCUUACACAUGCAAGUCGAACGGUAACGCGGGGCAACCUGGCGACGAGUGGCGAACGGGUGAGCAAUGCAUCGGAACGUGCCUGGUAGUGGGGGAUAACUGCUCGAAAGAGCAGCUAAUACCGCAUACGACCUGAGGGUGAAAGGGGGGGAUCGCAAGACCUCUCGCUAUCAGAGCGGCCGAUGUCGGAUUAGCUAGUUGGUGGGGUAAAGGCCCACCAAGGCAACGAUCCGUAGCUGGUCUGAGAGGACGACCAGCCACACUGGGACUGAGACACGGCCCAGACUCCUACGGGAGGCAGCAGUGGGGAAUUUUGGACAAUGGACGCAAGUCUGAUCCAGCCAUGCCGCGUGCGGGAAGAAGGCCUUCGGGUUGUAAACCGCUUUUGUCAGGGAAGAAAUCUUCUGGGCUAAUACCCUGGGAGGAUGACGGUACCUGAAGAAUAAGCACCGGCUAACUACGUGCCAGCCGCCGCGGUAAAAC
rnacentral:rRNA from 1 species